rfam:Zootermopsis nevadensis contig9026, whole genome shotgun sequence.
GCCACGGUGGUCUAGCGGUUAGAACGCUGGCCUUGUAAUCCUUGGGUCUCGGGUUCGAUUCCCGGCGGUGCCC